UACGUAGGGUGCGAGCGUUCAUCGGAAUUACUGGGCGUAAAGCGUGCGUAGGCGGUUCUCCAAGUCCGUUGUGAAAGCCCCGGGCUCAACCUGGGAAUGGCAGUGGAAACUAGGGGACUGGAAUCUGGCAGAGGGGGGUGGAAUGCCGCGUGUAGCAGUGAAAUGCGUAGAGAUGCGGCGGAACACCGAUGGCGAAGGCAGCCCCCUGGGCUGAGAUUGACGCUCAGGCACGAAAGCGUGGGGAGCAAACAGG
rnacentral:rRNA from 1 species